rnacentral:snRNA from 1 species
GUGCUCACAUGACAGCAUAUAAACUGCCAAAAUUAAAACAAUCCAGAGGAAAUUAGUAUGUCUACUGCUCAUGGAUGACAUGCACGUUAGUGAGCACUCAGAUAUUAGG